rnacentral:rRNA from 1 species
CUCAAAGAUUAAGCCAUGCAAGUGGCUAUUUUUUAAUAACCCUAUCAGUUUAAAUAUACGCGCAAGCGUACAUGCAACUGCAGAGAGCUGCUUAAUACAGUCACACUUGUCUUGACUCGGUUUAACUAAUUUACGAACAACGGAUAACUCAGGGAAAGUUUGGCUAAUACGUACGAACAAUUAUUAUUGCAUACAGUUACGCAUGAAUGAGAUUGUAUACGUGCGCGUGCUUGCACCGCACACGGCAGAUAUUGUGUAUUUAUAACACGAUACAUGUCAUACAAGCAUCUAUAGCAUCAAGUCACAGGGUUGGCAAGUGUAUUUUUGAACCUUCAAAGCAGUCACGCAUACGGAAGAGUAGUUUCUGAUCCCAUAGAAGGAGCACUGUACAUUGAGAGACCGCUCUUAGUUCUAAGGAACGCAGCAGGCGCGUAAAUUGCCCAAUAAUAGUACAAAAACACAGUGAACAUUUCUAGCUCUCAUAUCAUCUAUUGAGGCAGUGAUAAGCUGUAACGGUUGAGUAUUAAUCUAAUUUGACGUGUAUCUGGCAUGCGUUAUACGUUUACGCGUAUAUUACUGCAUACGCCGAUACUAUGUGUGCUCAGUCUGGAAUGCGGUGAGUCUAAACAACUCAGAACCUACGUUAUCAUAUACGUGUAUCUGAAUGUUCAAGUGGAGGGCAAGUCUGGUGCCAGCAGCCGCGGUAAUACCAGCUCCACUGGCCUAUACAAUCAUUGUUGCGGUUAAGAGGCUCGUAGUUGGAUUGAACUAAAUAUUUUUAUAUAUAUUUACAACACUGUGAUCAAAUCAGCAUGUAUCACGUAUGUAUUACUAAUACACGCAUUGUAUGUUUAUUCAUGGAAUGUUGCUCUGUAUUUUAUUAUACAAUUAUACGUCGAUGGGGAUAGUUGGAGUCAACAGUACUAGUAGGCGAGCGGUGAAAUGCAUUGACCCUACCAAGACUACCAAAAGCGAAAGCAGUUGUCUAGGCUAUAUUCUUUGUACUUGUAUACCAUCAUUAUACAAUACACAUACACACUUUACAAUGAAGAACGAAGGUUGGGGGAUCAAAGAGGAUCAGAUACCCUCGUCGUCCCAUUUUAUACAUCAAACGAUGGGUUCUCACUCGACCAAAAAUACAUAUCAAGACUUGUAGUACAUACUUCUGUACUCGUCUAUAUUACUGAUUUUCUAAGCUUUGCGCUCAAUUUUAUACGGUGAGAUGUAAGUAAUGGCUGUAUCUUUAUGAUGCAUGCUAUAUUAUGAUGCACGUAUUAGGCAUGCGCUUACUGCAGAAAUGUCUGAGAUAUUCCCCUCCGGGGGUAGUAUGCACGCAAGUGUGAAACUUGAAGGAAUUGACGGAAGGGCACCACAAGAACGCGUGGAGCAUGUGGCUUAAUUUGACUCAACGCGGGAAAUCUUACCGGGUCCGGACACACUGAGGAUUGACAGACAAACACAUUUAUGUGUUAUAAAGAUGCUAGUUCUUUCAUGAUUAUGUGAUAGGUGGUGCAUGGCCGUUCUUAGUUCGUGGAGUGAUCUGUCUGCUUAAUUGCGUUUCAAUAUUUUAUUACGUAUACGUAUGACCAACUACCUUUAAAAGGUAUGUUUGUGUCUAGUAUGCUAUAAUUUGAAAGCAACGAACGUGACCGUAUCCUUUUAUUAUGUACGCACGCGUAUAUUUAUUUCAUUAAAGGGACCGCUGUUUCUUUCUUUAAACCAGAGGAAGGUUACGGCAAUAACAGGUCUGUGAUGCCCUUCGAUGUUCCGGGCUGCACACGUGCUACAAUGAUUAUUUCAUUAAGUAUCUAAUCUUUUUAUGUAUCGUACCUCUGUGUAUGUUCAAAAAUACCUACCCUGAGAAUGGGCGGGUAAUCAAUUGGAAGUAACGAUUUCCUUUUUUUAAUACGCAACUAUGUACCGUAUAUUACAUCCCACAUAUUUUCAAUAUAUGUGCGUGUGUGUUUUAUUACCGUGUACGCGUAACUGUUAAUUCAUGGUGGGGAUAGACCAUUGUUAAUUGUUGGUCUCGGUCUUAACUAGGAAUGCCUUGUACGGGUCAUUGGUUCAACAAACCACCCGGAAUACGUCCCUGCCCUUUGUACACACCGCCCGUCGCUCUUACCGAUGAACUUCGCUAUGAAUCUAUUGGACUGUGCUCUCUUAUGAGUGCGGAAAGAUAUAUGAAUAGUGUGGUUUAAAGGAAAGAGAAGUCGUAACAAGGCAUCAGUAGGUGAACCUGCUGAUGGAUCAUUA